rnacentral:tRNA from 1 species
CGUCGGCGACGCGCUCGCGGAUGGCAUCCGCGGCGCUCGGGUCGCCGCCGGCGCGUUCCUCGAUGACCCGUUCGAGCAGGGAGUCGGCGA